CCUACGGGAGGCAGCAGUGAGGAAUAUUGGUCAAUGGCCGAGAGGCUGAACCAGCCAAGUCGCGUGAGGGAAGACGGCCCUACGGGUUGUAAACCUCUUUUGUCGGGGAGCAAAGCGAGUCACGUGUGACUCAUUGAGAGUACCCGAAGAAAAAGCAUCGGCUAACUCCGUGCCAGCAGCCGCGGUAAUACGGAGGAUGCGAGCGUUAUCCGGAUUUAUUGGGUUUAAAGGGUGCGCAGAGGGAGGUGCAAGUCAGCGGUCAAAUUGCGGGGCUCAACCCCGUACUGCCGUUGAAACUGCAGCCCUUGAGUGCGCGAGAAGUAUGCGGAAUGCGUGGUGUAGCGGUGAAAUGCAUAGAUAUCACGCAGAACUCCGAUUGCGAAGGCAGCAUACCGGCGCGCAACUGACGCUCAUGCACGAAAGCGUGGGUAUCGAACAGGAUUAGAUACCCCAGUAGUC
rnacentral:rRNA from 1 species